GUGGUGGUGUUUACAGUCUAACACCCUGACCCAUCGUGGGAGCCCAGGGUCAAAGCCAGCAGCUGCGGGAUCGUCACACCCUUACCCUUUAAUCCCAGCGAUGCUGAGCCGGCUUCCAUCCCCUCGCUGAGCUAGCCAGCUGUCUGACUGCUUGAAAAUGGCGGAAGAGGAAGAGGGCGGCGUGGAGGAGGGGGACGUGUUCCUAGCAUUUGCCCAGGGUCCCAUUCCUCCUCGGGGGCCCGUGCGGCAGGCUUUGGACAAGAUCUUCCUCGCCUUCUUGGUCCUCUUCCUGACUCUGCUGAUGCUGGAGGCUGCUUACAAACUGCUGUGGCCCCUGCCAUGGGCCAAGUUUCAGGACUGGCUCCUGAGGACCCCUGAGGAGGAGGCAGCUCUGGUGCUCUGAGCAUCUUCAUAGACCACCUGUCCUUGCUACUGAGCCCAGCUCACUCAAAGAUUUAUUAUAUGUACGUACACUGUCGCUGUCUUCAGACACCCCAGAAGAGGGCAUCAGAUCUCAUUAAGGAUGGUUGUGAGCCACCAUGUGGUUGCUGGGAUUUGAACUCAGGACCUCUGGAACAGCAGUCAGUGCUCUUAACCGCUGAGCCAUUUCUCCAACCCUUAAGAGUGUAUUUUAUUUCCUUUUGAUUUCCUGCAAGUAUCAUGGUUUCAGUUUUCUUUCUGGCUGUAAGACUCCAUUGUAUGUCCGAACCACAUUUUAUCUGUUUUACGGGCCAGUUGGCUGCUUCUGUUCUUUUGCCUAUUGCAAUCGCUACAGCAAUAAACAUGGAUGUGUACGUGGUGUUCUGACUUAAAUUUCUUCAAGUAUCUAUCCAGGAGCAAUACAUCUAGGACAUGUUAGGUCUUAGGCCGUGCAUAGGUCCAGAGAUGGGUCCUGGCCCACCUCAAGCUGGACUCUAGAAGAGUCCCUGGCAGUUAGACAAAGGCCAGAAUUCCCCCAGGACCUUGUGAAACAGGCUCCUGUCUGCAGAAAGGAUGUUUCCCUUGCCUCUGGAAAAAGGACACAAGGCUCAGCAGUGUGCC
rnacentral:lncRNA from 1 species